GACGAACGCUGGCGGCGUACUUAACACAUGCAAGUCACGGGGGCUGGUGCAAACCAGUAACCGGCGAACGGGUGCGUAACACGUGAGCGACCUGCCUUAUUGAGGGGGAUAGCCGGCCCAACGGCCGGGUAAUACCGCAUACGCUUGUUUGGGGGCAUCCCUGGACAAGGAAACCUCCGGGGCGAUAAGAGGGGCUCGCGGCCUAUCAGCUAGUUGGUGAGGUAACGGCUCACCAAGGCGAUGACGGGUAGCUGGUCUGAGAGGAUGGCCAGCCACAUUGGGACUGAGAGACGGCCCAGACUCCUACGGGAGGCAGCAGUGGGGAAUCUUGCGCAAUGGCCGGAAGGCUGACGCAGCGACGCCGCGUGGAGGAUGACGCCU
rnacentral:rRNA from 1 species